GGAAUUAGUUUUUCCUCUUCUUUUUUCCAACCAUGAAGGUCCCCGUGGGGUGGAGCAUGGUGCCCCUCACAAGCCGCAGUGGCUGGUGCACGGGCUGCCAGGGACAAGCCAGAGGGCUCGAUGUCCUGUCUGUGCAGGGCGCUUUGGUGGUGGUUCAGCCGGCUCAAGGUUCACCGGUGAAGGCAGGUGCGGUAACUGCCGCACUGGACCCUAGGAAGGCCCAGGGUAUUCGAAAUCUGACCUCAUCCUGUCUGUUUCCCUUCACGGAUCAAUUCUCACUUGAGAGGCCAAUAAACAGAUAACCCAACAUGAAAAGGUGACAAGCCCAGGUUUCUUCCAGGAUAGGUGAAAGGGUUAAAGUGAGUAAAGCAGUUGAGUCAACACCAACCCAAGCUGCGGGUGCAGAAUUCACCUUUUCUCUUCCCACCUUUCCAUCUCCUUACCCCUCAGAAACAACGCUUCACUUCUGGUGUGUCUGUUGAUCUGUGUUUUCAUUUACAUCUCUAUUAGGCUCUGCUCUUGUUCUUCAGAUUUUCACCAAAUAGGUUUGGGGUUGGCGGGACCUGCUGGUGACAUGCAGGUGAAGGGGGGAAGGGGCACGCAAGCAUAAAUAGAGGUGACGAGAGGAGAGCAUGAAGGGUGGGGCCUUGGGACCCACUGGGGCCAGUGGCUGGAGCUCGACGUGUUUCCUCCCCAUGGGGGUGGGAGGUCCCCCAGCUGGAAGAGCAGACUCCCAGCUGCUACCCCCUCCCUUCCCAUGGGAGUGGCUUUCCUUUUUGGGCAGAAUGCUGACUAGCAGACUAACAUAAAAGAAAGAUAUAAGAGGCAAUAACUAUUGUUUGUGAACAACUUUUUUAACUUCCAAAACGAAAACCUGAGCACAGUUUUGAAGUUCUAGCCACCUGAACUGCAUGCAUGUGAAACAUGUGCUUUAAGAAGGUGGCAGCUGACAGACGUGGGCUCUGCGUGCCGCCAGCCUAGUAGAAAGUUCUCGUUCGUUGGCAACAGCAGAACCUGCCUCUCCGUGAAGUUGUCAGCCUAAAAUUUGUUUCUCUCUAGAAGAGGAUUCUUUGAAAAGGUCCUGCAGAGAAAUCAAUACAGGUUAUCCUGAAAGGUACAAGGACACAUUUGUAAAGAUUAUUGAAACGUAUCUUUCCUUUAUGUGACGUGUCUCUAGUGCCUUACUGAAGAAGCAGUGACACUCCUGUCGCAGGGUGGGGACAUUCCUGGCCAGUGCCUCACUCACCUGGGACUGGUAUCCCCUCCCAGGGUCCACCAAGGGCUCCUGCUUUUCAGACACCCCAUCGUCCUCGCGCGUCCUUACCCUCUCUCCACUGAGGAGGUGCCUAGCUUGGUGAGGUGACCCCUCCUGCUCCUCCAAUCUUUUUUGCCAAGGUUUGUGCACAACUCCCAUCUAGGCUGAAAACCUAGAAGUGGACCUUGUGUGUGUGCAUGGCGUCAGCCCAAAGCCAGGCUGAGGCAGUCCCCAUAUCCUCUUGAGCCAAAGUGUUUGGGUCUCGUUGCAUCAUGGUAUGGUCUGGAUUUGUGGGAAUGGCUUUGCAUGAGAAAAGGGAGGAGAGUGGUUGCUGCCCUCAGCCGGCUUGAGGACAGAGCCUGUCCCUCUCGUGACAACUCCGUGUUGAAGCCCAUUGUCCCCGGCUUCAUGCCCAACGGACGGCAGAAGUUCAUGGGGGUGGUGACCUAUCAAAGGCUGGGCGCAUCCCAAGACAGCCAGCAGGUCGUCUCUGGAAACGACCAGAGUUAAGCUCUUCGCUUCUCUGCUGGGGGUGCACCCUUUCCUCUAGAUGGUAGUUGUCACAUUAUCUUUGAAGACUCUUGGACUGCCCCUGAGGAGGCCCUCUUUUCCAGUAGGAAGUUAGAUGGGGCUCUCGGAAGUGGCUAGUUGGAGGGGGACCAGCUUGGUUUCAGGGAUCUGUCUUUCCAUCCUGGUUCAGGGAAGGCCGAGGGUGACUUUCUCUAGCCUCGUCACUGUUUCUCUAGCCUUGUCACUGUCUCCCUGCCUGUCAAUCACCACCUUUCCUCUAGAGGAGGAAAAUUAUCUCCCCUGCAAAGCCCGGUUCUGCACAGACGAUUUCGCAAAUUGUGCUAAGAACCUUCCGUGUUCUCAAAAAGCCCAGUGUUUUUGCAAAGAAUGAAAAGGGACCCCAUAUGUAGCAAAAAUCAGGGCUGGGGGAGAGCCAGGUUCAUGCCCUGUCCUCACUGGUCGUCCCUAUGAAUUGUACGUUUCAGAGAAAUUUUUUUUCCUAUGUGCAACACGAAGCUUCCAGAACCAUGAAAUAUCCCGAUGAUAAGGAAAGAAAAUGUUGUUGUUGUGUUUUUUUCUGGAAACUGCUUGAAAUCUUGCUGUACUAUAGAGCUCAGAAGGACACAGCCCGUCCUCCCCUGCCUGCCUGAUUCCAUGGCUGUUGUGCUGAUUCCAAUGCUUUCACGUUGGUUCCUGGCGUGGGAACUGCUCUCCUUUGCAGCUCCAUUUCCCAAGCUCUGUUCAAGUUAAACUUAUGUAAGCACUCUGUGGCACGCGGGGCGCGCACCCACGCCCCGCUGCAUAAGACUCUGUAUUUGGAUGCCAAUCCACAGGCCUGAAGAAACUGCUUGUUGUGUAUCAGUAAUCAUUAGUGGCAAUGAUGACAUUCUGAAAAGCUGCAAUACUUAUACAAUAAAUUUUACAAUUCUUUGGAA
rnacentral:lncRNA from 1 species